rnacentral:misc_RNA from 1 species
UCUCCGUUGGUGAACAGCGGAGGGAUCAUUACAGGACUCGCAAGACUCCUACAACCCUGUGAACUUAACUAUAAGCACGUUGCUUCGGCGGGUGUCUCGGAGGGGGUUCUCCCUCCCCGAGACGCUAAACCCGCCGGCAGCCUACUAUACUCUGUCUCUUUGCGUUGGCAUCUCGAGUACAAUCAAACAAGUUAAAACUUUCAACAACGGAUCUCUUGGUCCUG